rnacentral:rRNA from 1 species
UACGAAGGGGGCUAGCGUUGCUCGGAAUCACUGGGCGUAAAGGGUGCGUAGGCGGGUCUUUAAGUCAGAGGUGAAAUCCCCGAGCUCAACUCGGGAACUGCGUCCGAUACUGGCAGGCUUGAAUCCGGGAGAGGGAUGCGGAAUUCCCGGUGUAGAGGUGAAAUUCGUAGAUAUCGGGAGGAACACCAGUGGCGAAGGCGGCUCACUGGCCCGGUACUGACGCUGAGGUGCGAAAGCGUGGGGAGCAAACAGG